GCCGCUGAGGUGUAACAGGUUUGCACGCCAGUCUUCCAAACUGGCAGAGCGGGUUCGAGCCCCGUCAGCGGUUCCA
rnacentral:tRNA from 1 species